rnacentral:rRNA from 1 species
CGCUGGCGGCGUGCCUAACACAUGCAAGUCGAACGAUCUUUGAUUAUAGCAAUAUUAUUAAAGAGGAGUGGCGAACGGGUGAGUAACACGUAGAUAAUCUGCCUUCAGACGGGGACAACUCAGGGAAACUUGUGCUAAUACCCGAUGAGACCACAAGAAGGGAUUUUUGUGGCCAAAGGCGGGCAGCAAUGCUCGUGCUGAAAGAUGAGUCUGCGUCCUAUCAGCUAGUUGGUGGGGUAAAUGCCUACCAAGGCUAAGACGGGUAGCCGGCCUGAGAGGGUGAACGGCCACACUGGGACUGAGACACGGCCCAGACUCCUACGGGAGGCAGCAGUGAGGAAUUUUCCGCAAUGGGCGCAAGCCUGACGGAGCGACGCCGCGUGAGGGAUGACAAGCUUUCGGGUUGUAAACCUCUUUUAUUAAGGAAAAAGAUCUAUAUGCUAAUAUCAUGUAGAUUUGAUGGUACUUAUUGAAUAAGCCCCGGCUAACUACGUGCCAGCAGCUGC